rnacentral:rRNA from 1 species
AUGGCGGCUCAGCCGCCGUCUUCCGGCUUACCGGCGGCAGCCGGAAACACCAAGCGCACCUCGAAGCGGAAGCCCAAGACAAAACCAGCCGCCCCCUCCGCCCUAAACCCUAACUGGGCCCAGCUCCAGUCCAAGCUCCCCGCGUCCACGUUCCUCGGCAAGCGCAAGCGCCCCGCCCCUUCUCCGCCCCCUGAGCCGUCUCCUACCCCGGAGGCAGCGGAGCUGAGUUUCAAGCUUGAGCCGACCUCUGACGACACCAGCUUGACGAAGGCGUUGGCGCUGGAUUGCGAGAUGGUCGGGGUUGGGGCCGGUGGCAGCAAGAGCGCCCUCGCCAGGGCCACCUUGGUUAAUUCCUUUGGCAACGUAGUAUAUGAUGAAUAUGUGCGACCAAUGGAGCGAAUUGUGGACUACCGUACCCAUAUUAGUGGGAUUAGACCUAAGCACAUGAAUAAAGCCAAAGAUUUCUCGAUCGUUCAGAAGGAUAUAGCUGAGCUUAUCACAGGAAGGGUUCUUGUUGGACAUGCCUUACACCAUGAUCUUAAGGUCCUGCUACUAGGCCACCCAAAAAAGGACAUAAGAGACACCUCAGAAUAUGAGGUUUUCCGACGGGAGGGCAAGCGAAGAUCGUUGAAAGAUCUUGCUGCUCAAGAACUUUCUGUUAAGAUACAGCAGCAAGAGCACUGCCCGAUUGAGGAUGCUCGCGCAGCAAUGUUCAUUUACAAGAAGCACAAGAAAAGUUGGGAGAAGAACAAGAAAGAGCAAUUCAGGUUCAAGAACAAGCAGAAGAAGCGAGGCAGUAAGAAAUCUGCUGAAGCCAAUGAGAAGGACCCCAAUGUCCCAAUAGUUCUACUCUAG